ensembl:lncRNA
UUCAGCUCCGGUUUCUGAAAUUGGAGGAAAAAACGGGUCAAAAACUGGUCGAAAACGCCCUCCCGUCUUCCCUCGUUAGCCGAGGGUAAUUAAAAUUGUUCGAACUCACCCUCGUCAGCUGGAAACUGUUAAAAUCCCCCCUCUGGGUCCUCUCCACGGGCCAACGCCACCUCUUGUAACGCUCCUCUUGGCCUCAAAAGCUCUUGGUCGACCCUCAGCCUCUCGAUAAUCACCUGAGGACGCGUUAACGAAGCCCAAUUAGCGAUAACGACCUCUUUGCGGCGCCUUUUUCCCCAAAAACCGCGUUUUUUCUCCUACUAAUUCGUCUUUUUUGGCCUCGCCAGACCUCCCGGGCCCGCCGGGCCUUCUGCUGGACCCCCCGUCGGGCGAAGUGAGGGCCGGGGACACCCUGGCGGUGACGUGCGCGGCCAACGGCACCGGCGGGGGCGAGCGGAGGUUUUACUUCUACAAGGACGGCGCCGAGCAGUUUUCGGAGGCGGGAGCCCGGGACCGGGCCCUCCUCAGCCUCCCCGUGGCCAAAAGCACGGCCGGGAGCUUCUCCUGCAGGUACGAGGAGAGGGUCGGCGACCGGUGGGUCCCGUCGCCGCUCAGCCACGCCGCGGUGGUCACCGUCAGAGCCGCGGCCCUGCCCGUCCCGCUGGUGGCCGGCUGCGGUGCCGCCGCCGCUGCGCUGCUCCUGGGGCUGCUCCUGGCCGUCUGCUACUGCCAGAGGAGGAGAGGGAGGGCCCACUGGAAAGGUCUCUACAACAAGGAGGACCCCAGCACUUACCCCAUGACCGGCGUCGACAGGAGCGAGCCCUGACCUCGAGAGGAGCCCGGCGCGGGCGGGAGGCCCCCGACCCCUCCUCCGAUAGGGUUCGGGGAGAGGAAAAAGCCCUCUUCUCUUCUUUUUUCCCCCAAAAAUUUCACCCCGACGUCGGCUUCGGAGGGCGCCCCCUCAAUAAACCACGCCCCGGACCCCAGCGGCCUCGGCAGCUCCUUCGCAAGCUCCGGGGUGGCCAAGAUGGCCGACGCGAGCCCCGGGGUGGCCAAAAUGGCCGACGCGAGCCCAAGGGGGGGGGGAUGAGUGGCCAAGAUGGCCAACGGGGCACGGAAGCAACCGUUGGGUUGGGUUGGGUUGAAGGGUCUCCAUUGGUUGGGUUGGGUUGGAAGAGGCGGCGCGGCCUCGGUUGCCCAAGGGGAUGAUUAGAAAUCAUUUUGGGGCGAAAAACGGUCGUUUUCGGUCUCCGUUGGCCAAGGGGGCGAUGGGAAUUUGGGGAGCGGGAAGGGGAAGGUCGGAGGCGGCUGUUGGGCACCGGCAUCGCGGGAGGUCGCGCCCCAAAACGGGCUUUUUUCCCCCAAAAUGGCCUCCUGGACCCCCAAAAUACCUUCCCACCUCCCAAGACAGCCUCUUACACCCCGAAACCCUUUUCACAGUCCCAAGUGACCCCCGUUCCUCCAAUAUGGCCUUUUUUUGCCCCAAAACGGCCUCCUGCACCCCCAAAAUUGCCUAAUUUGCCCCAAAACGGCCUCCUUUGCCCCCAAAAUGGCCUCCCACACCCCAAAAUGGUCUCUUUUGCCCCAAAACGGUCUCCCAUGGCCCAAAAUAACCUCCCAACCCCCCGAAAUCCUCCUUACGCCCCCAAGUGGCCCCUGUACCCCAAAAAUGGCCUCUUUUGCCCCAAAACGGCCUCCGGGACCCCCCAAAAUGGCCUCUAAUACCCCAAAAUGGCCACUUUUGCCCCAAAACAGCCUCCUAUACCCCAAAAUGGCCUCAUGGACCUCCUAAAUAGCCUCCCACACCCUAAAAAUGCUUCAUGCCCACCCCAGUGCCCCCUUGUACCCAAAAAUGGCCUCUUUUGCCCCAAAACGGCCUCCUGAACCCCUAAAAUUCCCUAAUUUGCCCCAAAAUGGCGUCCCGCACCCCAAACAGCCCCCGUUUGCCCCAAAACGCCCUUCUGGACCCCCAAACAGCCCCCCCCGCACCCCAAAAUCCCCUCUUUUCCCCCAAAACGCCGCCUUUUGCCCAAAACCGCCCGUUUUUCCCC